GAUGAACGCUGGCGGCGUGCUUAACACAUGCAAGUCGAACGGAAAGGCCUUUUCGGAGGUACUCGAGCGGCGACCGGGUGAGUAACACGUGGGUGAUGUGCACUGCACUAUGGGACAAGCCUGGGUAAGUGGGUCCAAUACCGGGUAGGACCGAAAUAUAGAGUGUGAGGGGGAAAGAUUUUUCGGUGUAGUAUGUGCCAGCGGCCUAUCAGCUUGUUGGUGGGGUGAUGGCCUACCAAGGCGGCGACGGGUAGCUGGACUGAGCGAUUGGUCGGCCACACUGGGACUGAGAGACGGCCCAGACUCCUACGUGAGGCGGCAGGGGGGAAAAUCUCACAAUGGGCGCAAGCCUGAUGCAGCGACGCCUCGUGGGGGAUGACCUCCGUCGGGUUGUAAACUCCUUUCGCCAGGUACGAAUCGUUUUGUGACGGUACCUGGAGAAGAAGCACCGGCUAACUACGUU
rnacentral:rRNA from 1 species